rnacentral:rRNA from 1 species
UACGGAGGGGGCUAGCGUUGUCCGAAGUUACUGGGCGUAAAGCGCGCGUAGGCGGGUUGGUAAGUCCGCUGUGAAAGCCCGGAGCUCAACUCCGGAGGGUCGGUGGAUACUGCCAGUCUUGAAGGUGCUAGGGGGGAGAUGGAAUUACCGGUGUAGCGGUGAAAUGCGUAGAUAUCGGUAGGAACACCAGUGGCGAAGGCGGUUCUCUGGGCCUUACCUGACGCUGAGGAGCGAAAGCGUGGGGAGCGAACAGG